rnacentral:rRNA from 1 species
UGAUAAUUAAAUGGCCGCGGUAUUUUGACCGUGCAAAGGUAGCAUAAUCAUUAGUUUUUUAAUUGAUAACUUGUAUGAAUGGUUUAACGAAACAUUAACUGUCUCUUUUUUAUAUUUUGAAUUUAAAAUUUGAGUUAAAAUGCUUAAAUUUAUUUAUUGGACGAGAAGACCCUAUAGAUCUUUAUUUAUUUAUUUUUAUUUUGUUUAGUUUAUAUUUUUAUAUUGCUAUUUUAAUUUUGUUGGGGUGACAUGAAGAUAUAUAUAACUCUUUAUUUUUUAUUACAUUUAUUUAUGAUUAAUUGACCUUAUUUUAUUGUUAAAAGAUUAGAUACCUUAGGGAUAACAGCGUAAUUUUUUUUGAGAGUUCUUAUUGACAAUAAAGAUUGCGACCUCGAUGUUGGAUUAAGAUAAGUUUUGGGUGCAGUAGCUUGAACUGUUAGGUCUGUUCGACCUUUAAAUUCUUACAUGAUCUGAGUU